rnacentral:misc_RNA from 1 species
AAGUCGUACAAGGUUUCCGUAGGUCAUUAACACGCAUCCAACGUUUAACCACCCGCGCACCUUCACUGAAACCGUUAACACGAAUUGCCUGGCGGAAUAACUAUUCAAGAUCAUAACUUCACACGCCAGCGUGUCUGGCCACCGCGGAACAACCUCACUAGAAACCCGACCGAUGCGCCGGAUCCUCGCGGGUUCAGGCGUCGGAAACCCCGACUAUGGAUAUCUGGGCUUC